rnacentral:lncRNA from 1 species
AUGAGAUCUUCCCGGAUCUGGAGGGCCGGGCGUUCUCGGCGGUGUACGUGCACACGGAGGUGAACAGGGGCGACAACUUCCCCGGGAUAUCGGCGUUGAAGAGCAUAUACGACGCCGUUCCGGCCAAGCUCAGGGACAAUCUCGACGCCUUCUAUUUCCUUCAUCCGGGCAUCCAGUCCCGCCUCUUCCUCGCCACCUUCGGCCGUCUCCUCUUCGGCGGCGCCGGCUACGCCAAGGUCAAGUAUGUUGCUAGAUUGGAGUUUCUGUGGGAGCACGUGCGCCGGAAGGGGGCGGAGAUGCCGGAGUUCGUGCACGAUUUUGACGAUGAGAUGGAGUGGCGCCCCAC